AAGAAGCAUCACACUCCACCACAAAACUUCAUUGAAAUUAGGAAGAGCUAAAGACUGGUGCGGCUCAAAUCUCUUGAUUUUGAUUUUGUCCAAGCUCGCCGGUCCUCUGGUGUCCAUUGGAAAGACUUUUCCUUCAAACAAUCAAUGGUUGGUGCCAUCAAACUGCGAAAUCCUCGAAACUGUGGUGCCAUGCAUCCAUGGCAACUACAUAUCACCGAACUUCUUCAAAAUACUUUU
rnacentral:lncRNA from 1 species